AAACAUUCCGGCGGGCCCUAAAUCAUUGCAAGUUCGAGCGGACUUGAUGGAGAGCUUGCUCUCCUGAGAGUUAGCGGCGGACGGGUGAGUAACACGUAGGCAACCUGCCCUCUGGACUGGGAUAACUACCGGAAACGGUAGCUAAUACCAGAUAAUUCACUUCUUCGCAUGGAGGAGUGAGGAAAGACGGAGCAAUCUGUCACCGGAGGAUGGGCCUGCGGCGCAUUAGCUAGUUGGAGAGGUAACGGCUCCCCAAGGCGACGAUGCGUAGCCGACCUGAGAGGGUGAUCGGCCACACUGGGACUGAGACACGGCCCAGACUCCUACGGGAGGCAGCAGUAGGGAAUCUUCCGCAAUGGGCGAAAGCCUGACGGAGCAACGCCGCGUGAGUGAUGAAGGUUUUCGGAUCGUAAAGCUCUGUUGCCAAGGAAGAACGUCCUUAAGAGUAACUGCUUAAGGAGUGACGGUACUUGAGAAGAAAGCUCCGGCUAACUACGUGCCAGCAGCCGCGGUAAUACGUAGGGGGCAAGCGUUGUCCGGAAUUAUUGGGCGUAAAGCGCGCGCAGGCGGUCAUGUAAGUCUGGUGUUUUAAGCCCGGGGCUCAACCCCGGAUCGCACGGGAAACUGGAUGACUUGAGUGCAGAAGAGGAGAGUGGAAUUCCACGUGUAGCGGUGAAAUGCGUAGAGAUGUGGAGGAACACCAGUGGCGAAAGCGACUCUCUGGGCUGUAACUGACGCUGAGGCGCGAAAGCGUUGG
rnacentral:rRNA from 2 species